UUAAUUGAAGCCAAAAUAGAGGCCUCCCAUUGUUAAUGGGGUCAAUGAUUUUAUUAAUCCAAUUAAA
rnacentral:tRNA from 1 species